UGCUUUUAUUGUCUAGCAACCCAUGUCCUCGGCUCUAUACCCAAAAUCCCGGUGGCAGGUUCCCUUUAAGGCUGCCAUACAUGUUCAGUAGCUGUCAGGGUUGCAGUCAUUCAGCAAACAGCUAUCUGAGUUUUUCGAUCCUACUUUCCCCUGAUAUCUGUCGGGAGAGUUAGGAGCCCCCCAUACAUUCUAGACAGGCAAACUAAUGUGAGGGGCGGGGGGGGGGGGGCUUUUAGGUUGUGUUAACAUUGUAGAUGGAACAAGCCACUUGCAUGACCAUAGACUGCUCAAUUUUGAAGUCUAAUGUGUUAACAUUAAAAUCGUGCUUGUUUGUGGGGCUUUUGUCUGGAUGCGUCCACUGCAGAUUUGGGGUACUACCAUUUGGCAAACUGAUAAGUUUUGCCUCUGUCAGGUAUGGAUGUGGAAUCCUAAGGCUGUAGUGAAGUCUGCCUAUACUUCCCUUGAAAUGGUCUAAUACUGUCCUGGGGUCUAAGGAGCUGAAAGGUCCUUAAAGUCUGCAGUUACAUCUCCGGUGAACUGUUCUGGCAGAAAAGUAGUUCACCGCUGGAUCCCUAAUAACUGUAGUGAGGUUCGGCGGUGAUCUCUCAUACGCCAGCUCAUCUGACAGAUGUGAACGCAGCCUAAGUGCAGCAAAGCGACACCUUUUGUUUGUAGAUGUACUAUGUGGUUUAUGGAGUUUAGACUAAUGGUAGUUUUAAUAUGUAGAGCCGCGAUUUACAAAAGUGCAGGGUUUAUAUAAUUUUUUUUUAACUUGUAGACUGUUCAGUUGCUAAACUUAAGACCAAUUUGGAGAACUUUGUUCCUAGAACAGUUUAGAGUUGAGUCAAUGUGAGUUCAUUACAAAUGUAAUAAAACAAAUUGCACUUUAGUAAAUCUAGGUCCAAUGUUCCAGAAUACAUGUCCAAAAUGAGAACUUGGCUUUUCUGGUACUUCAAUAUUGAUGGCUCAUCCUUGGCUUAGGCGAUCUGACUGCUAUGGGUCUGACCCCAGUCAGUACAAUGGAGGGACUGUGGGUGUGUCCCCUGUACAAGCACACUGGCUCCAUUGUACUGACAUCUGUUCCAGUUACUACGGCUCCAUUCCAUUCGAGUAAAUGGCACUAGGCUGUUUGUCAAUCCCAUCAGUCAGCCAUUGAUGGUUUAUCAUAAGGGUGGGCCAGCAAUAUUUUGGUUGGUGAAAAUCCCUUUGCAGUGUCUUGCUUACUAGCUCGCACUUUAAGGGUAUGUUCCCACGUGGUGGGUCAGUCUUCUGCUAAUUUUCCGUAGCGUAUCUGGCGAAGUACCGCAGUUGCAAAAUGUGCGGAUUUUGUUGCAGAACUGCUGUAGAUUUCACCUUCUGCAUUGCAAACUGAAAUAUAUGGCAGAUAAUCCGCCACAUUGACAUGCUGCUGAUUCAGAAUCUGCCCCACAUGCAGAAUUAUGUGGAUUCUGGUGCAGACAGACUCCGCAGAGAAUAAAUGAGAUUUUGUAAAAUCUCAAUCCCCUUUGUUGACAACGCUACGUGGGAGUGUGCCCUCAACAGGCUGCUCUCAAUUUAGUUCACCGUUUGGAGUAAAGCAUUAUAUUCUGUACUAGAAAAUUCUAAGCUGUCCUGCUUUAUAGACCAGUGGAUUACAUGAGACCCUUCUAGCACAGCUCAUCUCUCGCCAUUACGGUGUGGACUCAGUCAGCAUUAUUAAAGGAGUUACAGCAGGAACAAGAGCUGCAAGUUUCCAAGAAGUGAAUGCAGGAUUUACUAUGCUGAUAGUGAGGAGCUCCCCCCAAGACUAGUACAGCUGAAAUAACGAAGACAGUCUAGGAAGAGUUCAACAUCAUUUGGAGCCUACUAGAAUGAUAGCUACUGUACUACAGGUGUGACAAAAAGCCAAUAGGUCUAGCAGUGAGACCUGAAAGCGAGGGCCAUAAGAAUAGGUGUGGAAUGGCUAAAUGAAGGCAAAAUUGGGUUCUCUGGGCUCCAUUUACAGGCUAAGCAAGUGCCUUAUACCAUGGAAACGCCCUGGGACCCUAGAGGAGCAUCUGGAUCUCUUCAGCUGAACAGUGUUUUAAGAGACUGAAUUUUACACGGCUAGAAUGGGGCGAAAGAAGAAACUAAUUCAUUGUAUUUGGAAGCUGGAUGUAGAUUGAUUUAUGCCUUUGGUUCUCAACUGUAAAUCCAGAAAUAAAUUCUUUUUUAUAUCAAA